AAUAAGUUCAUUUUUCAAUUUUUUGAUAUAAUGUUUUGACUCUUCGUUUUAUUUGAAUUUUUUUUCGAUUAAUAUUUUUAUUCUUACUAAAUAAUAAAAUAUGAAUAAUACUUUAUGCGUGACUAAACUUUUUAAGUUUUUGUACAAAUUUUUCAAAUAAGACGAAUGAUCAAAUGUUGGACACGGGAAAAC
rnacentral:pre_miRNA from 1 species